rnacentral:piRNA from 1 species
CAUUCAUCUGUAAUGAGACCUGG